rnacentral:rRNA from 1 species
ACGGAAGGCAGCAGUGGGGAAUAUUGGGCAAUGGGCGCAAGCCUGACCCAGCAACGCCGCGUGAAGGAAGAAGGCUUUCGGGUUGUAAACUUCUUUUGUCAGGGACGAGACGAAGACGGUACCUGAUGAAUAAGCCACGGCUAACUACGUGCCAGCAGCCCGGUAAUACGAGGGGUGCAAGCGUUGUUCGGAAUCACUGGGCGUAAAGGGAGCGCAGGCGGAGAUGCAAGCGGACUGUACAAUACCGGGGCCCAACCCCGGACCUGCAGUCCGGACUGCACCUCUUGGAUAGUUCAGGGGCAAGCGGAAUUCCUGGUGUAGCGGUGGAAUGCGUAGAGAUCAGGAAGAACACCGAUGGCGAAGGCAGCUUGCUGGGGACUAAUCGACGCUCAUGCUCGAAAGUGCGGGUAGCAAACAGGAUUAGAUACCCUGGUA